UACGGAAGGCAGCAGUGGGGAAUAUUGCACAAUGGGCGCAAGCCUGAUGCAGCCAUGCCGCGUGUAUGAAGAAGGCCUUCGGGUUGUAAAGUACUUUCAGUCGUGAAGGAAGGUGUUAAGGUUAAUAACCUUAGCAAUUGACGUUAGCGACAGAAGAAGCACCGGCUAACUCCGUGCCAGCAGCCGCGGUAAUACGGAGGGUGCGAGCGUUAAUCGGAAUUACUGGGCGUAAAGGGCACGCAGGCGGUUAAUUAAGUUGGAUGUGAAAUCCCCGGGCUUAACCUGGGAAUGGCAUUCAAGACUGGUUAGCUAGAGUCUUGUAGAGGGGGUAGAAUUCCAUGUGUAGCGGUGAAAUGCGUAGAGAUGUGGAGGAAUACCGGUGGCGAAGGCGGCCCCUGGACAAAGACUGACGCUCAUGUGCGAAAGCGUGGGGAGCAAACAGGAUUAGAUACC
rnacentral:rRNA from 1 species